GUACACGCUGUGACUAGCAUAUCAAUAAGCGGAGGAAAAGAAACUAACAAGGAUUCCCCUAGUAACGGCGAGUGAAGCGGGAAGAGCUCAAAUUUGAAAUCUUAAAGGGUUUCCCUUUACGAAUUGUAGUUUAAAGAAGUGUUUUCUGUUGAGGUUUUGGUAAAAGUUCUUUGGAAUAGGACAUCAUAGAGGGUGAGAAUCCCGUAUUUGACCUUUACUUUCAACUUUGUGAUACACUUUCAAAGAGUCGGAUUGUUUGGGAAUGCAGUCCAAAAUGGGUGGUAAAUUUCAUCUAAAGCUAAAUAUUGGCGAGAGACCGAUAGCGAACAAGUACCGUGAGGGAAAGAUGAAAAGAACUUUGAAAAGAGAGUUAAACAGUACGUGAAAUUGUCAAAAGGGAAGCGUUUGACACCAGUGUUGUUUUUCUGAAAAUCAAUUAAAGAACUGUUUAUGCUAAGUUGUUUAGACUUUAUCAGCUAACUGUUUAGUUUUGAGCUUUUCUUUAAUGCACUUUUCAGUUAACAAGUCAACAUCAAUUUCUUUUGCUGUAAAAAAGCUUGAGGAAGGUGGCUUGAGAUUCGUCUUAAGUGUUUAUAGCCUCUUGCCUAUGCAGUCGGAGAGAUUGAGGUCUGCAGCGUAGAUCCUUCGGGGCUAAAUGCAUUUGUGCUAAGUUAUAGCAUUUUAUAGACAACUUGUUGACUAUGAUUUGUCUUGUAGCUUACUCGCUUAUGUUAUUUUACCUACGCUUAGGAUGUUGAGCGCAUGUCUCUCUCU
rnacentral:rRNA from 1 species